GUCAGUGUGGCCGAGUGGUUAAGGCGAUUGACUCGAACCUUAGUAGGUUUCUAACCUUCUAAGGAGAUAUCAAUUCCAUUCGUGGGCG